AUACGGAGGGGGCUAGCGUUGUUCGGAAUUACUGGGCGUAAAGCGCGCGUAGGCGGAUUGAUCAGUCAGGGGUGGAAUCCCGAGGCUUAACCUCGGAACUGCCUUUGAUACUGUCAAUCUUGAGUUCGAGAGAGGUGAGUGGAAUUCCUAGUGUAGAGGUGAAAUUCGUAGAUAUUAGGAAGAACACCAGUGGCGAAGGCGGCUCACUGGCUCGAUACUGACGCUGAGGUGCGAAAGCGUGGGGAGCAAACAGGAUUAGAAACCCCAGUAGUCC
rnacentral:rRNA from 1 species